GGCUGUUAUGACUUGGUGACCAGUUUUAUGGAAACAAAUAUGGGAAUCAUAGCUGGAGUGGCUUUUGGGAUUGCAUUCUCACAGUUGAUCGGGAUGCUGCUGGCAUGCUGUCUGUCCCGGUUUAUUACUGCUAACCAGUACGAGAUGGUGUAACAAGUCUUUCAGGAGUGUGAAGUCCAGAGCCUGUCUGAAGGUCAGGAGCUGCAGAAUUGGAGAAAGACUGACACGAAUGUUAUAGCACACACUGUCUCUCGCACGCACGCACGCACACCCACACCCCCACAAGCAAGCCCGUGCGCGCGCACACUUGCACCCCACCUCCCGAACUCUGUCCCAUGCGUAGUGUACCAUUCUGUGAAGUACCGCGGUGCCACCGAGAGCAGCCGAGUCCCCUCGGCCUCUGGACCCAGACCCCAUCCCCGCGGCUCGGCAUAGGACGGCACCGUAUGUAUGUUCUUGGUCACGCAGUAGUUGCAUUGUAAGUUAACAAAGGUAAUUCAUUAACAGCAUUGAUCGGGCUGUGCAUGUAGUGACUGGAGGGCAUAAUUAGCCUUUCACCAUGGUUAAUAAGUGUUGCACACGUUCAUAUAAACCGGUAUAUGAAAUAUAUAUAUUCUUUUGGUUUUAUCUUAAUUUCGUGUUUUGUUUAUUGCUUUACUAAGGUUUUCAUCCUUUCCCCCUUCCCUGCGCCUGCCCCCUUCCCCAAAAACAAAGGAAUCAGUAACAUAACGUAAAGAUACUUGAAAAUGAUGUUAAAAUGUUGUGCUUGAAGGGAACCGUUACUCCUGAUGUUCUUCUACAUCUUUGAUUCUUACUCAGUGUUGUAUGCCUAGUGCGUAUCCCGGUAGGCUUUGUCUAGUGCAUUUUGCCUCUGAACCCGAUCCUGUGUAAUACUGUUAUUAAGCUGUGUUGUUGCUUACUGUGAAGGCAGGAAUUUUGCUUCCUUUAUUUUUAUUAGGUAGUUAUGAACUAAUUGAACUGUGCUGUACUGCGGCCUUCAUACUUUUUUCCUGUUCUUUCUUUUUCUUUCUUUUUGCAUUGAGGUUGCAGUCACCAAAUACAUUGUUGAAACAAAUCGAAAUAAAAACACACACACACAAAUAAAAAAAAUCACAAAAAAACAGGCAUAUGAAAUAUUUUUGGGGGAAAGCAAAAGUUUAAAAACCUUUUUAAAAAAAUAGAACUUUUUUAAUAAUGCCUCUGUCUAGCAUGCCAACGAGAAUGCAUUGAUAUUGUGAGUAUUUGUGAUAUACGUAUUAAUAAAUGGAACCAUUACAGAUUU